rnacentral:rRNA from 1 species
CUCAGUUCGGAUUGGAGUCUGCAACCCGACUCCAUGAAGCUGGAUUCGCUAGUAAUCGCGCAUCAGCCACGGCGCGGUGAAUACGUUCCCGGGCCUUGUACACACCGCCCGUCAAGCCAUGGGAGCCGGGGGUGCCUGAAGGCCGUGACCGCGAGGAGCGGCCUAGGGUAAAACUGGUGACUGGGGCUAAGUCGUAACAAGGUAAC